rnacentral:rRNA from 1 species
AGAGUUUGAUCAUGGCUCAGAACGUACGCUGGCGGCACGCCUAAUACAUGCAAGUCGAACGGAGUAGCAAUACUUAGUGGCAGACGGGUGAGUAACAUGUGGGUAUCUUCCCUUUGGUGAGGAAUAACACGAGGAAACUUGUGCUAAUACCUCAUAAGUCUUUACGGAGAAAGCUUUAUGCGCCAAUGGAUGAGCCCGCACUUGAUUAGUUUGUUGGUGGGGUAAUGGCCUACCAAGACUGUGAUCAAUAGCUGAUUUGAGAGGAUGAUCAGCCACAUUGGGACUGAGACACGGCCCAAACUCCUACGGGAGGCAGCAGUAGGGAAUCUUGCACAAUGGAGGAAACUCUGAUGCAGCGAUGCCGCGUGAGUGAAGAAGGCCCUUGGGUUGUAAAGCUCUUUCGUCGGGGAAGAAAAUGACUGUACCCGAAUAAGAAGGUCCGGCUAACUUCGUGCCAGCAGCCGCGGUAAUACGAAGGGACCUAGCGUAGUUCGGAAUUACUGGGCUUAAAGAGUUCGUAGGUGGUUAAAAAAGUUGGUGGUGAAAGCCCAGAGCUUAACUCUGGAACUGCCAUCAAAACUUUUUAGCUAGAGUUUGAUAGAGGAAAGCAGAAUUUCUAGUGUAGAGGUGAAAUUCGUAGAUAUUAGAAAGAAUACCAAUUGCGAAGGCAGCUUUCUGGAUCAUUACUGACACUGAGGAACGAAAGCAUGGGUAGCGAAGAGGAUUAGAUACCCUCGUAGUCCAUGCCGUAAACGAUGUGUGUUAGAUGUUGGAAAUUUAUUUUCAGUAUCACAGCGAAAGCAAUAAACACAC